CAAUAAGCGGAGGAAAAGAAACCAACAGGGAUUGCCCUAGUAACGGCGAGUGAAGCGGCAAAAGCUCAGAUUUGAAAUCUGUCGCCAUUUUGGCGGCCGAGUUGUAGUCUGUAGAGGUGUAUUCGAGUGUGGCUUUGGCUUAAGUUCCUUGGAACAGGGCGUCAUAGAGGGUGAGAACCCCGUUAACGGCCUUUGUCUUAUGCUCAUGUGAAUCUCCUUCAACGAGUCGAGUUGUUUGGGAAUGCAGCUCUAAAUGGGUGGUAAAUUCCAUCUAAAGCUAAAUACUGGCAAGAGACCGAUAGCGCACAAGUAGAGUGAUCGAAAGAUGAAAAGAACUCUGAACAGAGAGUUAAAUAGUACGUGAAAUUGUUGAAAGGGAAGCACUUCCGACCAGACGCACUUGCAGCCGAUCAAUCUUCAUUCUUGAGGGUGCACUCGGUUGUCUGUGGGUCAGCAUCAGUUAUGGCGGUGGGAAAAAGACUAAGGGAAUGUGGCUCCUUUCGGGGAGUGUUAUAGCCUUUGGUGCAAUGCUGCCUGCUGUGACUGAGGACCGCGCUUCGGUGAGGAUGCUGGCAUAAUGGUCGUAAGUGACCCGUCUUGAAACACGGACCAAGGAGUCUAACAUCUAUGCGAGUGUUUGGGUGUUCAAACCCUUACGCGGAAUGAAAGUAAAUGGAGGUGGGAACCGUAAGGUGCACCAUCGACCGAUCCUGAUGUUUUCGGAUGGAUUUGAGUAGGAGCAUAGCUGUUGGGACCCGAAAGAUGGUGAACUAUGCCUGAAUAGGGUGAAGCCAGAGGAAACUCUGGUGGAGGCUCGCAGCGGUUCUGACGUGCAAAUCGAUCGUCAAAUUUGGGUAUAGGGGCGAAAGA
rnacentral:rRNA from 1 species